GGGGCUUCCAAUGAGAGGACUCUCAGAGAUGGGGACAUGUGGUAAGCAUUGUUAUUUACUUACUAUUAUAAUGCUACAUUAACUCCAUAAGGAGGGUGGUGGGAGGGAACAUGACAUCAUGGAUAAUGGAACCUUUUCCAGGAGUACCGUAGAGACCAGGUCCCCAUUAGGGAUGUGCAUGGGCAACAAAUUUGGUUCGGUUCAGAAAUUCGGGUAAGUAAAAAAAAUGUGUCUGCAUCAACAAUUUGGACCAAUGGCAUUCAAUUUGGUUCGGCACUUCCGAAAUGUGGAACUUCGGCAAUUCGAAACUUCAGCAAUUCGGAACUUAGAUAAUUCAGACCCUAACCCCUAACCCACUUCAUGACUUCGGCAAUAUGAUCCGGUUCAGCACUUCGGAAAUUCCACAAUUCGGACUUCGGACAUUCGUAAGCAUCCGAAUGUCCGAAUUGCACGAAAUUCGUCUGAAUGUACAUUUGAAACGAAACAAAUUGCACAUGUCUAGUCCCCAUCAUAUCUCAGCCAUCACCACAAAACAUGAAUGGAUUACACACAUUUGUUUAUGACGUGGUUGUAAAUGUAAUAUUAAUAACAAAAAUGGACAAUACAACAGCAUGUGUUAGUCACUUACAUUUACAUUUUAAGAGCUAAUUUGAAUGCUAAAUUAUACGUUGUACCCACAGAACACUAGUUUGAUUUCACAUCAAAAGUUGUCAGUUUGUGGCUCCGACUGUCAGGAUGAAACACAGACUGGCCAUGAUCAGUCUUUUGUUAACACUGAUGAAUUAAUUGGGUGUAAUGUGAAAAUCCCACUUAGUGUUUUCAUUGUUUGUAGUGUAUAUUCUGUUUUAUGGCAUGUUGUAUGUAUCAUAGAAUGUCUGUGUCUCUACUGUGCAGUGCAGUAAUACACAAUGAUACUCAACUAUGUUUAUCCUUAAACAAUAAUUGUCACCUAAAAACUAUUUUUUUUUUUUUUGCAUAGUCUCUGGUUUUCCCUGCUUCACUCCUUGCAGAGUGCAGUGACAUCAUCAGACUGACCGUCAGAUUCAGACAUGGUCUGGCCCAAACUGCAUGUAUAUGGCUGAUGGAUCCUGUCAUAAUCUGAAGGUAGGGAUCAAUUUUUCUAUUUUUUUGCAUAUACUUUAUUUAAUAAAAAAUAUAUUUCCUUUCAAAACUUGGUAAAAGGGUUAUUGUGUUACAAAAAAAAAUGUGUUUUAGGUUGUAGUUGACCUUUAAGCCAUUUUUUAAAAAUAUUCUUUAUUUUUGUUGGGCAUAGUAACAACAUACAGGUUCAUUUUGCCCCAACAGCAUUUGUGAAUCGUGAGUAAACUGAGUUUAUCACAGUACAAGGCAUGUAUGAGAAACUGCAAAUUUUUUGAUUAAUUGUUAAACAAACAAGGUCUUCGUCUGGAACAUCACGCGGUAUGCCGUCUGUAUAAGUAGUGAGGUCUUGAGGUUCUGACUGCUAUAUAGCAGGCUUCUCCAUGAGUAGGAAAUCGUAUAGACAAAAGAGGUUGGCAUUGUCGUAUUAGUGCCAUUAUGGUCCGUCAUGUGUAUAGGGGCGCAUGUGGGUAACAUGUGAGUGGACCGUAGAGUAUGGCCAAAUUCUCCUAAGAGGAUGCAUAUAUACCACUAACCUCUGGGGUAAGGAUGGGGGGAGGAUGUUGUCAGUAUUUCUAGGCAGAUGUCCCCACUGAAAUUGUGUGUAGAGUUACAGUGGGAGAUUCGGUCGCACCUGUCAGAGGUAUGAUAUGUAAAGCGUAAGGAGCAUGUGGUUAGUAUUAUAUGCCAUGGUUAUAUUAUUAUAUAGCUAUAUAUGCCAUGGUCAUCUGUAGUAAACUGAAAUGUAAAACUUAUAAAACCUAUAAAACCUAUAAAGCAGGCCCACUGGGUUAGUAAGGCUACUGAUCAGGCAUUCAUGUCACAGGAUUCACAACAACCCCAGGGACGAAUGGUGCGAUUUAGGACAUCCCAGGCAUGGCUGGUGGGCUGAGACGGCUGUGUUUCAAAAAGGCCCAAGGCCUGUAGGAUGUUUAGGCCCACUGGUGGUCCUGUUGCUUUAAAAGACUUUUUGUCUGUAGUGACCAUAAGGGACCUAGGGUAUGACUAUCAAUAGGUUAUUCCUGCCUCUAAGUAAGAAAUGGGUGUAGCGGAGAUGCAAUAUUACCCAGGUUAUCUCCGCUUAUAAUCCAAGUGAGACUCAGGAACAAGUAAAUAGUAAAUCCAAAGGCAGGGUUUCCAGCAGGUAAAAUACAGCAAUAUCCCAACAACAAUCCCAAUAACUGGACGACACACAGUUUCAGGAGCAUAACUGACAAGCCUUUAAUCACAGUCUCCUUAUAAAGCAUGCUCCCAUGCAAGGGAGGGAUUACAGUAAUUAUUACAGUAGCCAAUCCUGUCCUGGUAACCUCCCACACAUCUCCUCCCCUCAGCCAGCAUCAUAAUCCCCUUAUCCAGUACACCAAUUCCCCCGUUUCUGGAUGUACCCCUAAACGUAGGGGUACCUCUUUAAAUCCUACAUCCCCUGGUAGCCCUGAUCUGGGUGAACAACAUAUCCAAAAACCACCCAGAUCAGACCAGGGGUUCGGGAAAAGUAUGGAGGGAAUAAAAUGACCGACCGCACGAACUGAGAUAGCCGAAUUCGGUUCCAUGUGAAUGGGCCCUGCGGUCGGUCCUGGCAUAAGGGAAUAAAAUACACGAAAACCUCUAGCUAUAGAGGCUAGGGAGGGUUCGCCUGAAUCCCCUCGUUCGGUAUUCUCUAUCUACCGAACGAGGGGCCGUUCGGUAGUUUGGAACCGAACGGACCAGGGCUGUGGAGGUCUCAGCGGUGUUCGCCUACUCGAGUGUCCGAUUUUAGUUCCAGACACUCGACGGCUAAACACCGCUGUUCGGGAGUUUUAAAAUGGCCGCCGCCACGUGUUCGUUUGUCGAAUGGCGGCCACCCCCGAGAACAAAGGACGGCUACUUACUGUUCAAUUACCCGUUCGCAACAAUGUUGCAACGGGUAAUUGAGGACACACUUCACACAGGGGAGGUCUGGUUGUUCGGUAGUUUCAUUCGAAUAAACUAAGGGAACGAAACUACCGAACAAUCACAAGAAUACAAGGCUUUAAAACACAUAGGAAACUAACAGAUCACACGAAUGCAUUUAUUUCACAGACAUUUGCAGGACAGCCCAGUGCCAUCCGCUACACUGCUCCCCCUUGCCCACAAGCCGGCAUACACAGUCUGAUCCAACACGGAUCGGCUUGGGGAUGUCCGGGGACUCACGGAUCAUUUCUCCAGGUCAGUUUGUCUUGACAACCCGUCGGCAUUCCCAUUCUGUUUACCCGGGCGGUACUGAAUAUUAAAGUCAAAAGGCUGCAGCGCCAAACUCCAGCGCAGCAGCCUGGCAUUGUCCCCAGCCACCCGGUUUAGCCAGACCAACGGGUUGUGAUCCGUGAGUAACGAAAAAGGCUGUCCAUAUAGAUACGGCUGUAGUUUCUUUAAGGCCCACACCACAGCCAGGCAUUCCUUCUCGAUGGCGGCGUAGCUUACUUCUCUGGGUAACAGCUUGCGACUGAUGUAAGCCACGGGGUGUUCUCCGCCAUCGGCUCCGACUUGGCUCAGUACUGCUCCCAAUCCAAACAUAGAAGCGUCUGUGUGAACAAGAAAACGUUUAGUUGGAUUGGGAGCUGCCAAGACAGGAGCGUUUAUCAGUGCAUUUUUCAGAUGUUGGAAUGCCUGCUCACACUCCGGGGUCCAGGUCACCUGGCGGGGCAAAUUCUUCCGAGUAAGGUCAGUGAGAGGUUUGGCGAGGGCGCUAUAGUUAGGGACAAACUUCCUGUAAUACCCAGCGGUCCCUAGAAAGGCUAACACCUGGGUUUUAGUCCUAGGAGUGGGCCACUGGGCCACGGCUUCUACCUUGGCUGGUUCGGGCUUCUGUUUGCCGCAACCCACUCUAUGUCCGAGGUACUGCACCUCGGCCAUCCCUAUGCUGCACUUGGCCGGUUUCAAUGUCAAACCAGCUUCCUUAAUCCUGUCUAGAACCGCUCCUAUAUGGGCCAAGUGCUCCUGCCACGUAUUGCUAAAAAUGGCAAUAUCGUCCAGGUAGGCACAGGUGUAGUCUUGGAACCCAUCCAGGAGUCGGUCUACCAUCCGCUGGAAAGUAGCUGGGGCGUUUUUCAUCCCAAAUGGCAUGACCUUAAACUGGUACAAGCCAAAUGGGGUGACAAAGGCCGAUUUCGGGAUGGCCUCUGGGGCCAGGGGGAUUUGCCAAUACCCCUUACAUAAGUCAAUGGUAGUGAGGUAUUGACCCCUGGCCAUUCUGUCCAGUAGCUCAUCUAUCCGUGGCAUAGGGUAUGCAUCGGACACCGUUUUCUCGUUUAAUCUCCGGUAGUCUACGCAGAAGCGGGUCGUACCGUCCCGCUUCGGUACGAGUACUACCGGAGAAGCCCAGGGACUAUCUGAGGGCUCAAUUACCCCCAGUUGGAGCAUCUCAUCGAUCUCCUUGCGCAUGUUUUCCCUUACCGCUUCGGGGAUGCGGUAGGGGGUCUGACGCAUCGGUAAUUGCCCUGGGGUCUCUACCCGGUGAGUGGCCAGAGGGGUGUACCCAGGUACGUUAGAGAACGUGUCUCGUUUCUCUUCCAACAGCUGCCGUACCUCGAUGCGCUCCUGUGGGCUCAGCCGGUCUCCCAGUGUGACUUCCCCUAAAUCCCCAGACAGCUGCCCAUCUUCCAGCAGAUCUGGGAGUGGUAAGCUGUCAGACUCAUCUGAAUUGGGCGCGCAUAUGGCGGUUACCUCCUCGGAGCGUGCUUGGUAGGGCUUCAUCAUGUUCACAUGGAGCAUGCGUCGCCCUCCCGUCCCUGUACAGGAGCCAAUUAUAUAGGUGGUGUCACAUCUCUGUUCCACCACCCUAUAAGGUCCCUGCCAGGCGGCCUGUAGCUUGUCAUGUCGGACAGGCUUUAAAAUCAGCACUUUCUGCCCGACCUGAAAGCUACGGUCCCUGGCUCCCCGGUCAUACCAUGUGCGCUGGCGAGUCUGUGCCGCCUGAAGGUUUUCCCUUACCGUCCUGGUUAAGGCUUCCAGGCGGUCUCGGAGAGCCAACACAUAAGGUAUGAUGGGGGUGCCAUCUGCGCUCCGGUCUCCCUCCCAAUGCUCUCUUAUAAGAUCUAAGGGGCCUCUGACCCUCCUCCCAAACAGCAGUUCAAACGGGGAGAACCCCGUGGAUUCCUGCGGCACCUCCCGGUAAGCGAAUAGGAGAUGCGGCAGGAACCGCUCCCAGUCCUUGUGGGUCUCUGCGAAGGUUCGGAGCAUUUGUUUCAAUGUGCCAUUGAACCGUUCGCAGAGCCCAUUAGUCUGGGGGUGGUAAGGGGCACUGAUAAUAGGCUUAAUGCCACAGAUCCUCCAGAGGUGUUGGGUGAAUUCUGCGGUAAAUUGGGUACCCUGAUCCGAGAUAAUCUCCCUGGGUAAUCCCAACCGGGAGAAUAUCUGCAUGAGGGCAUCCGCGACCGUUUCAGCCUGAAUGUUGGUCAGAGCCACCGCCUCUGGAUAUCUGGUAGCAUAGUCUACUACCGUUAAAAUGUACCUUUUGCCUGACGGGCUGGCUUUCUUGAGGGGACCUAUCAAGUCUACCGCUAUUCUGCUAAACGGUUCCUCAAUUAUUGGCAAGGGGUGUAGCUUCGCCUUCCUCCGGUCUCCCCUUUUCCCUACCCUCUGGCAGGUGUCGCAGGUGGUGCAAUACCGGCGCACUUCCUGGCUGAUCCCUGGCCAGAAGAAAUUUUGGGUCAGUCGAUACCUAGUACGGCUGACCCCUAGAUGUCCGGAUAGCGGGAUAUCGUGCGCUAUCCGGAGUAGCUCUGCUCGGUACCGCUGCGGCCCCACUAGCUGCCUCGUCACUAUUGGGUCUGACCCCUCAAUCUGCUUGUCUGUCUCCCGGUACAAAAGCUGCUUGUCCCAGACAAAUCUCUCCCCCUGGAGGGUCUGCUGUCACCUUGUCUCUGUAUACCUGCAAGGUGGGGUCAGUCACUACCUCUGCUGCGAAUUCGUUAGGAGGGGCCCAGGGGACACAGUCAAGGGAAGGGGAAGGGUCUCUUACCUGAACCUCCGGAAGUGUGUUGUAGUCCUGGGUGCGGGCCUGUUGACGGGUGACCACAGGAUGAGCUUCUCCUGUGGUGGACGUCUGGGGCUCAAAAGCAGAUGUGAGCCUCCCCAGAUCGUUCCCCAAUAAAACCUCCGCCGGUAACUGCGGCAUCAACCCCACCUCCACAUGUCCUGCCCCCGCUCCCCAAUGUAAAUGUACCCUUGCUGUAGGUAGCCGGUACACUGCUCCCCCGGCUACCCUGACGGCCACAGUUUUACUUAGUCUCGCUUCAUCCGAGACCAGAUGACUUUUGACCAAGGUGAUGGUAGCCCCCGAAUCACGUAGGCCCUGUACUGCUUUACCCUCCAAGUAUACGGUCUGCCUGUGAUGCUGUCUGUUAUCAGCAUUGGCCUGGACUGGAUCCGCCUCGUGUAGUACUUCCCACUGUUCCACGGUUGUUAUGGGAACAGCUGACCCAUAUGGUGUGGCCACUAUAUUUUGGUAGUGAUGGGCGGCGGCUGCUCUCGGUGGUGGUGGUGGUGGGCCGGGGCGAAUCCAGGUAGAACGAUCCCUCAGCUGGGGACAUUCCCUUUUAUAAUGUCCCCACUUCUGGCAGUGAUGACAGGGGCCAGAAGCGGGCUGGCGAAACCGGGGCUGUACAGCGGGUGGUGGUGGUGGUAGUUGCCUCGGUGGAGCUGGGUUGUAGCUGUUUCCCCCAAAGGUUUUAAAAAUAGCUUUUGGGGCUGCUGGUUUCUGCUGCCUGCGUGCAUCCAAGUACUCAUCGGCCUUCCUAGCAGCUUCGGUAAGGGAGGUAGGGUUUCUGUCCCUCACCCAUUCCUGGACCUCGCCUGUUACCCCCUCAUAGAAUUGCUCCAACAACACCAUUUGCAAUAAGUCCUCCAUGGACCGAGCCUUAUUAGACUGUACCCACCCCAGAGCGGCCCGAUGCAACUUGCAAGCCCAUUCCACAUGAGAGUCCUUGUCAUUUCUCUUUAGGUCUCUAAACCGUCGCCGAUAUGCCUCUGGCGUGAUUGCAUAUCGGGCCAGGAUCACUUCUUUUACUCGGCGGUAAUUCCGAAUUUCCUCAUCAGGUACAGUUCUAUAGGCUUCCGCCGCCUUCCCUGUGAGCUUCCCUGCUAAAAUAGGCACCCACUCAUCUGGGCUAAUAUUAUGCAAGGCACACAGCCUUUCAAAGUCUUGGAGAAAAGCAUCUAUAUCUUCCUCUGCUUCUAUAUACGUUUUAAAGGCUUGGUAAGGAAUUUUUGUCUUACCCUGUGUGAUGGUAGUUGUGGUAGCAUUCCUCUCCAGCUGCUGUAGUGGCUUUUGGCGCAGUAUAAACUCCUGUACCUCUGACAUUGUCCUGGAUAUAAUAUCCGUUGUUGGAUUCUCUCCAUAAAAGGACAGCCUGAACUGCACCUCUCUCCGGAACUCUUCUUUUUCAGCACCAUCUGCUGCACUCUGUUGCUCAGGGAUUACCCUGUCCUCCUGCUGGUAUUCAGCCAUCACUUCUGCAAUGAGGAUUGCUUUCUUUUUGUUGCUGGCUGCAAUGCCUUUCGCUUCCAGGAGAUCUUUUAGCGUGGAUCUUUUAAGCUUGGCAUAAUCACUCUCCAUCCGUAUUCCAUUAGUCCUUGUUCCCUUGUGAGUCUGGAUCCCAGCGCUGCCAACCAAUGUAGCGGAGAUGCAAUAUUACCCAGGUUAUCUCCGCUUAUAAUCCAAGUGAGACUCAGGAACAAGUAAAUAGUAAAUCCAAAGGCAGGGUUUCCAGCAGGUAAAAUACAGCAAUAUCCCAACAGCAAUCCCAAUAACUGGACGACACACAGUUUCAGGAGCAUAACUGACAAGCCUUUAAUCACAGUCUCCUUAUAAAGCAUGCUCCCAUGCAAGGGAGGGAUUACAGUAAUUAUUACAGUAGCCAAUCCUGUCCUGGUAACCUCCCACACAUCUCCUCCCCUCAGCCAGCAUCAUAAUCCCCUUAUCCAGUACACCAAUUCCCCCCGUUUCUGGAUGUACCCCUAAACGUAGGGGUACCUCUUUAAAUCCUACAUCCCCUGGUAGCCCUGAUCUGGGUGAACAACAUAUCCAAAAACCACCCAGAUCAGACCAGGGGUUCGGGAAAAGUAUGGAGGGAAUAAAAUGACCGACCGCACGAACUGAGAUAGCCGAAUUCGGUUCCAUGUGAAUGGGCCCUGCGGUCGGUCCUGGCAUAAGGGAAUAAAAUACACGAAAACCUCUAGCUAUAGAGGCUAGGGAGGGUUCGCCUGAAUCCCCUCGUUCGGUAUUCUCUAUCUACCGAACGAGGGGCCGUUCGGUAGUUUGGAACCGAACGGACCAGGGCUGUGGAGGUCUCAGCGGUGUUCGCCUACUCGAGUGUCCGAUUUUAGUUCCAGACACUCGACGGCUAAACACCGCUGUUCGGGAGUUUUAAAAUGGCCACGUGUUCGUUUGUCGAAUGGCGGCCACCCCCGAGAACAAAGGACGGCUACUUACUGUUCAAUUACCCGUUCGCAACAAUGUUGCAACGGGUAAUUGAGGACACACUUCACACAGGGGAGGUCUGGUUGUUCGGUAGUUUCAUUCGAAUAAACUAAGGGAACGAAACUACCGAACAAUCACAAGAAUACAAGGCUUUAAAACACAUAGGAAACUAACAGAUCUAAACUAACAGAUCACACGAAUGCAUUUAUUUCACAGACAUUUGCAGGACAGCCCAGUGCCAUCCGCUACAAUGGGGUAGAAGAGGUUAAGAAGCAAUGAAGGCUGCUUGUUAAAGGAAUGAUAAGAAAUAUACUCACAAAGAGUUUGAACAAUAUAAUACAUAUAGGAUAGUACAGCAAGGAAAUAUAUACAAAUGUAGCAAUUAAAUUAUAUAACCUAAGGAUGGCAGAGGGAUAAUGUGUCUGAAAAACAUUAUAUAGCUAAGUCUUCAUUGAACUUGCUAAAAACUGAAUCGACUUCAAGGUUGCUGUCUGAAAAAAUAAUAUUGGAAUGAAGGCAAAAGGCUAGGUUGAUUGUAAAACAGAGACAAUAAUAAAGUAAAUCCAUCUGUUAUCAGGUAGUUGUGGUGAGUAGAAAAAAAUAUACUCAAAGAGAGGUUGAACCCAAUAGCUUAGUUGCUAAGCAGUAUAAUACCUAUGAAAUGAUGCCUCAAGGGAAUAUAUACAAUGUUGCAAAAAAUUCUAUAUUAUUUCGUCCCAUAAUAGUACCCAGCCGGGCUUGAUGGGUGUCCUGGGGAGGCAAGACCUCGUCAGAGCCGUCGCUUGUCCAGAAGUUGACACUGAAUAGCAGCAGGAGUCCCAUUCUGUAGGCCCCAAGUCCUCUGUGUCACAAACGCACCCUACUUCAAGAGUGUGCAUGACAUAGUAGUGGUGGUGAAAGGGUUAAUGUUCACUAUUUGUGUGCACUAGACCGGAAAUAAUGAUAAAAUCCCCCUUAACACCACCCACACUUAAGCAUAAUAAUAUAAAUAUCACUAUUUUAACGCUAUCAUCACCAAGACAAUUUAAAAAUGGGGUGCCUUGGUCCCCCAGGUAUUUAAUAAUAAAAUCCCACCAAAUGUAACUUAGCACAAUAUCUAUGUAAUUGCAAAAUGCUAAUUUGUCUCUUCAGGUAACGUGAUUCUUUUCCAGACAAAGGCAGAACUUAAUAAUAAUAGUAAUAUUUAUUAUGAGCAAAAAAAUUGUCGCAGUGCAUGCAAAAAUAUAAAAAAUAUUUACACCAGCAACAGAUAAAAACAAAAGGGAUGAAACAGAAAUAACACUUACUCAGCCUUUCAAAGUAAAACUUCUGCCGAAGGUGGUCUCUGGUAGGAAAGAUGGUGACUCACUUAGAAUUAGAUUCUGGCACCUCAAGCAAGUACAAUGCACACUUCAGUAUAAUUAGAGAUAUAGCCUGUGGAUUACCACGCCUCGCCCUGAGGUGGAGUUAAGGCAUAUCUAUAGAGACAAUACGUGAUCACCCCCUUGUAUCCCAGACCAACAUCAAUCCAAAUGGAAAUGUUUGGUUCUAUCUUCCCUUUUGUACUUGCCACAGAAAUAAUAAUUGCAUCUAGAAAUUUGUUAUUAUUCUUCCAUACCAUAGAUAUCUCACACACCUUACUUGCGACUCAAAAUAUAGCGGGCAUCACAAUCCUUUCCAUUAUGGUUAAGUUAUGCCAAUCAUGUUUGGGCUUGUUUAGAAGAUGGCGCUUGUCACAUUCCAAAUAUAACAAAAAUGAGUCAAUUAUGAUGCUGUGGGUUAAUAUUAAUGAUACUGGAACAAGGCUAAUGGACAUUAACAUAUCAAAGGAGAUUGACUCAUCAAUUAAGAGGUACAGGCCAUAUGACUGAAGCCAGACAUUCAGGCUUUUCAAGUGUAGAAUUUCAAACUUUGCAGAGCCUUUGAAUAAUCACAGGAUCCAUCCAUAUGGUAACCCAUCUGACCCCUUUCACAGUCAUAUGCUAAUUACAUUACCCCUUCUGUCAUCUGAUCUCUGUGGGGGUCCCAGCUUAUAACCUAAAGCUAUAAACCAUCUGACCUUCCGUACAAUCAAAUUUACCCCUUUUGUCAUUGACAAUACCACCUCUACCAGGAAGGCAGGUCAUCUAUGCACUACACAAAUGACAUAAAAGGACACUUUUCCAUAGUGCAAUAAUGAAUUAUGCACCCUUGCCGUGACACUCGUUUUUGCACCUGCAGUGAACUGGAACGGCAUCCCCCAAAUCGGCGCAGGUUCCCAAGCAUGCAGGUAAGUAUUAUGCCGAGUAAUAUAGUGUUUAUCAUCACGGACAAGCUGUUUUUUUUAAGUUUGGAUUUCGGAGCUGUGAGUAAUGGCGUCUGCUCCUUAAUGCUGCCAGCUCCGCCCUUUAAGCAAAUUUUAUGCUGCAAGUUUCCUUAUCUGAAGGUCUUAUUUAUUUGGAAAUGUAAUGACAACUUUUUUAGGAGAACAUGGCUAAGCUGGAAAAUAGUUUCAUAGAAUUUUUUAUAUGAAGCAAAUUUUAGCAAAACAUUGGUAAGUUCAGUGAAUAAACCUGUGUGUGUCUCAUGCACACUGCUUGUGGCUUGGAUCGGCUGCAUACAACCCUACAACUAGAUAGGCAUUCUGGGUGUCAUCGUUCAACACAUGCUGAAGACUUGCUGAAGGAGUUAGUGUCUUCUCAUGCACAGAAGUCUUCAUUGAUGGGAAACAUGAAAAAAUAUACAAAAGAACAGUAGUUCAGAAACUAUCCAGGAUUUAUGUAUUUCCCUGUUUUAUUCCACUGGAGAUACUGUCCUGGACUGUUGGUGGAUCCUGAGUACUGGUUUGGGAAGCACUGCAAUAGAAGCUCUUUUGUGCAUGAUAUCAAAGGGACACUCCAAGCACCAUAGCCACUACAGGGUGGUGCAGGGUUUAGCUCAUUGUCUAAGCCAUCAGCUGAUGCUAUUAGCAAGCAGUUUGACUACUUACACGGGGAAAGCCAGGGCAGUCCUAGGGUCAUACCCAGCGCAGUGUGCUGUAGUGGUUAUGGUGCUUAGACCGCUCCUUACAAUGUAGCCUUCUGCUGACUCCCUUUGCUGUAUUCAAGGUUUGUUUAGUUUGUCCUUGUCACUGUGUCACUGGAUCCUGAGUGAGCUAUAUCAAUAUCUAUAUAGAUGUAAAUAAUGUAUUUGUAAAAAAAAACCACAAAAAAACACCAUUCCAUAUUUCUAGAUAGUUCCUGAUCACAGCAAUCAUCUUCCAAUGUUGCCUAUUCUCUAUUAAAAUUCAGAAUUUUUAAAGACUGGCAAAAAAAGAGACUUGGGGCUCCAGCCCUGUGUAUCCACUCCUAGCAAUGCCCUGCCUUCAUCCCUUUGUCAAUCACAGAAUAAAUCCGUAACAGCUAGUGAUAUAAAUCUUAUUCAAGGUAAUGGCAGAAAUCCCAUUGAGGAAAACGGUCCUCCCUGUCCUGACAUACAGCUCUGACAUUACCUACAGGCCAUGUCCUGUUUGAAAUUGUUCAUAAAGAAGAUUAAAGCUGGAGAGCGCAAUCAUAAAGAAAACAUAUAGAGCUCCAUGAUUUACAUGUGCGAGUAGGAUCCUAUAUUCCAGCUGGUUUAUUGAAAUUGAUUGUGUUCUCUCAGAAAAUAAACUUUGAUCACAUUAUGUGCACAAAGCUCUGGUCAUUGGCCAUUGUGGACAAUCUCUGGCAUUGAACCUAUUCAGGAUUUAGCUUUAUUGAAGGGCAGAGGAUUGUGGGAAAUGUAGUCCACUGCAGCUGCGUUAUCCCAGUCAGUACGAUGACUCAAUGUAUUUACAGUUUAUGAAAAUGUUAGUGAAGCCGCACACUGUUCGGAGGGCGUCAUUGUUUGCUGCUUUGUGUUGUAAGCAGCGGGUCACAGACUUUUUAUUGCUUUUGACAAAUGUGCUUGGAAAAGGCCUUUAUUUGCAAUGAGCCAGCUAUUUUUGGCAGGCGUCGGAGCCUGCAGCCUGUAAUGAGAUUACUGAAAACUUUUAUUUGAAUGUGUGCAUUGCGAUGUAAGCGUCCAACAUGGAACCCGGGUCAAUUUUGUUUCACUUAUAUAUAUAUAUACAUUUGUUUAUCUUUAUAUAUUUAUCUUUCUAAACAUAUAAAAUAUGAAUAUUGUAAUUUUUUUUGUUGCCAUUUGCUCAGACAUGAAAAUGAACCACACUUCUUAAGCCUUGUUCCAAACUGUGUAGCAGUAUUCCAGUAAUUGGUUACUAAACAGAAAUUUUAGAACGGUGAGGUAUAAGUGAAUUAAACCAAUUAGGCAGCUGCUACAAAACUAAGGAACCUUCACCCUAAAUAAAAAGAUUAAAGUACUCUGUCACCAAUACUAAACUUUAUCUAAUCUGCUUCUAUAUUGCUCCCUGAGUCUCAAUAUCAUUUUAUUUUAUUUUUUUUCUGAGCGCUCUUGUUUUCAUAAAAUAUUUAAUGAAAAGUAAGGAACACUUUACCCUACGUAUAGCAGCCAAAUUGGCAGAACUUUAAAAAAAAAUGCUUUUUUGAGAAUACAAGUUCCCUGCUAUUACCACAACCUCCCUCUCCCCUCUUUUUUUACUUACCUGGUUUCCAGUGACAAGACACCAUCAUUGCAGCCAUCUACUUCACCUCCUUUUUUGUCAACAUCUCGUUGACAUCUUCCAUCGUUCUUUCCAGAGCUUCUUGCAGAGAAGCAUUGGAAACUAAAAGCACAUGCAAGGUAAGUGCUGUUUGACACUGAUUGGUAGAGGAGAAUAAAAUGGCUGCACCCAGAUAUUGAGAUCUGGCACAAGAAAGAGAAGAUAAUAAAUGUAAAUAGAGGCAAGUAGCAAGCGAAGGGCUAUAAUCAUUAACUCCUUCCCAGCGUUAUGGCAUGCUAUGCCGUCCUACAAAAGGAUCUGAUUGGAGGGACUGCCUGAAAACCGAGGCAGUGCCCCUACAGCCAAUCCCGCCAAUUGGAGUCACGUGAUUCCGAUGACACUGCAAUCACAUGAUCGCCGUGAUUGACAGAUUGAAUACCCUGAGUUGUCUACUUUUGUCGAUGGUAUGCCAUAAUGGGGGUCAUUUUCAUUUAUGGGCUGCCAUACAGUCUCAAAGGCAACAUGAUUCCAGCAAAGCAAUCUGGCAAAUUUCAAUGUGGAAUGGGCAUGCUCUUUAUUUGACCCUGUAACUUUUAAAAACUCCAUAAAAAGCAUGUACAUGGGGAGUACUGUUGUACUUGUGCAACAUUAGAGUAUCCAAAUAUGUGCGUUUUGUUGCAGUAAAAGCCAACAGUAUUAUGACAUUCACAGUUAAACUGAUUUCUCACACUUUUUAAAAAAAUAUUUUAUUCAUAUUAAAUUAUGUUUCAUAUAUAAAUAUUUGAUAUGAAAUGAAAGCCCUGUUUCUCCUGAACAAAAUGAUAUAUAAUAAGUGUGGGUGCACUUAAUAUGAAAGAGAUACAUUAUGGUUGAACAGACAUAUAGCGCAAAUUCCAGGUGCUAUUUUGGUUCAGAACUUGUACAAUUGUCUCCGUCUUUAUGGGGUUAACACAAAACAGAACAACAUAAAAUGUAUUAAAAAGAUAGAGUUUUUUUUUUAUAAAAGUGUUCUCUUCUACAAAGUGAUGAAAAAGGAGUGGAAUCACUAUAGGAAUGUGGCGGCUGGUUCCCCUGGUUCUCAUGGUGAUAACUCUACUUCUGUUACUUCAGACCACUUUUUAGAACAGAACACUUUGAUAAAUGACUCUCUUUGAAUAUAUCUGUGCCACAGAGACAAUCACACAAUACAAGACACCCACAGCUUCUAAUAUAGAGGAAAACCAGAGUGACAUUACUAAUAAUUCAAUUUCUCAAUCAGUAGAAGACAUUCGUUUGAGAGUUCUGAGUUCAGUGUAAAAGUGUGAGUGAUGUAGUUUGUAUCUUAUACAAGCUUUACAUUGUUUGCAAACUUACAUUGACAGUGCCUACAUGUAGCAGGACCACCACUCUAAUUGAGCCUCUAAUAAUCUUCUUUUUUCAUCAUUGCAAUGUAUAUUUAUAGCGCUAACACCUACAGUGAGGGAAAAAAAGAUUUGACAUGCAAAUCAAUUUAUAACUUUUUUGACAUGCGUUUUUCUGGAUUUUUGUUGUUGUUAUUCUGUCUUUCACUGUAAAAAUAUACCUACCAUUAAAAUUAUAGACUGAUCAUUUCUUUGCCAGUGGGCAAACGUUCAAAAUCAGCACGGGAUCAAAUACUUUUUUUCCCUCACUGUAUGUAGCUACCGAAUACAUUGCUAAAGGAUAUGAUGUAUUAGGAUUUAAGAUACUUGUCUGUAUGUUUUCACUCUAUCUCUGGUCACUGAUCGUCCUAUCACUAGCUUUCCCCUGGAUUCUUACCACACAUUCUAAACUUUUAAAUAUUCACUUGGAGAACACCCAUCUACAUAGGAAGGGAUAUCUUUUUACUAUCUACCUACCUAAGCCAUAACUUAACCUUUUGUGCAUCUCCCCCCUGCUCCCUUAGUGCCCUCUGGCACUUUGUACAUAUCCAUCCUUUGUGCAAAUCAUUCCUCCCUCCUUUAGAGGAGAACCAUCCCAAAGGAGACAUCUUCCCCUCUCCACGAUGAGUCUAACUGCCCUCCUUCUGGUGCAUUUCUCACCUUCUUCCUCCCUUGGUGCAUGUCCCCUCUUCGAUUCUCCCUCCAUCUGUGGAUCCCAAUCCCACCACCACUCACUCUCUCCCUCUCACAUUCCAGCAUUCUUCUGCGCAAAACACUGCUCUUGCUCUAUUGAUUACUUAUCCCCCAAAUCCACACUCUAUACACUCCCUCUAAUUCUUCCACGUUCUCCUUUAUAAUUUGCUCCAUGCCCGCUUACUCAAUCUAUAACCCGUUUCUCAUUGUGUAUUUUGAAAACCAUAAGUUAUUUGUGUGUUGGUUGUGAUUGAGAAGUCAGAUUUAUUAUCACAGGCAAAAUACAUAAAACUUGAUUCUGAGCCCAGAUUUUUCUCCCCGUUCUAUCUCUUGUCUUGGCAGUUUUGUGUAGAUAUCCAAUGUAUAUUCAUUAGUGCCUCUCACUGCCCUUGUGUCCUGGAGUAAAAGCUAAGAAGAGCAUUUGGCUCUCUCAUAUUGAGGACAUCUGGUCUGCAUGACAUUUUCUAAGACAGUAUCUUGGCAUCAUGGGUCACACUGAAACCUAGAGUGACAUUGACUUUCACAAUGUUCUGUUGUCACUAAGCAGCACAUCUCUUAACAUGAAAUCUCUGGCAGUGCUUUCUCUGAAUUGUCUUUGUAUCACUGCUAAAAUUGCACUAUUAAAUCUGUAUCAGUAUACGUGUCUGCAUAGAUUGCCUGCUUAGAGAGAUGCUUAGUUAAAUUAAAUAGACCAUUCUACUUGCUGCACCUUGAAUUAAAGGGACACGUAAUAUCAAUAGUUUUUCUAUGUUUUUUCCAAAUGUGUUGAUUAAAUAUUUGUAAUAUUCCAUUUCAGCUACAGGUGUGAUACAAUUUUAUAUGAUGUUUACUAUGAAAUAUUAUCUGUCUGUCAGUAUCUGUAAUGAUAUUUAUAAAUAUCAUACUUAUAAUCAUGCAGUACAUACUUACAAACAUUUAGAGAGUUUCUAUACGUUGCAUGUUCUCCAACCAAGCAUUAUACACUCUGUGUUCUCCACCCUGACUAGAUAUUCUAUACUCUGCAUGUUCUCCACCCUGCCUAGAUAUUCUACACUCUGCAUGUUCUCCACCCUGCCUAGACAUUCUAUACUCUACAUGUCCUCCAACCUGCUUAGACAUUCUACACUCUGCAUGUUCUCCACCCUGCCUAGACAUUCUAUACUCUGCAUGUUUUCCACCCUGCCUAGACAUUCUACACUCUGCAUGUUCUCCACCCUGCCUAGACAUUCUACACUCUACAUGUUCUCCACCCAGACUAGACAUUCUAUAUUUUGCAUGUUCUCAACACUGCCUACACAUUCUAUAAUCUGCAUGGUUUUCAGGCUGCCUAGACAUUCUGUACUCUGCAUGUUCUACACCCUGCCUAGACAUUCCAUAUUUUGCAUGUUCUCAACACUGCCUACCCAUUCUACAUUCUGCAUGUUCUCCAGGCUGCCUAGACAUUCUGUACUCUGCAUGUUCUACACCCUGCCUAAACAUUGUAUACUUUGCUUACAUGUUCACAAGCCUGCCUAGGCAUUCUAUAUUCUGCAUGUUUUUUGUUGUGUUGGUUUCCCACUGUACUCCAAUCCAGCUCAGUAGAUGGAAAAUUAACAAAAGUCGAAUGUUCUUGACAAACCGAGGAUAUCACUUGAUCCACAACCAGUUUACUGUGCAUUCCAUGAAGUGAGGAAUCAUUGUUUAGAACUGAAAAGGAACUGAAGGUGUCUACAGUGGCCAGACCAGUGGUCUGAUGAUGUCUCAUAGAAUUUGAAAUCAAUUACAAAGUGUGAGAAAUUAACAAUUAUUUUAAAGCUCCGUGUAGUCUUGUUAUCAAAACUUGAGGAACUUUGUAUAAAAAAGAUGCUUAUUCCUUCAUGAUUCACAUUUCUAUAUAUGAAUUGUCUGAUAUUAAAUCUGCAUAUCUGUCACUGUAUCAUCACUGCUUUGUUUCAUAUUCGAUGCGCUGGCGGACCGACUCAUACCGGCAAAACGUGUUUCAUUGUCUGAACAUCAUACUCUGCAUAAGCAGAAACCUACUGGAAUUCAUAUGCAAAUAUACAUUGGAACAAAUGUGCUGGCGUGUAUUAAAAUGUAUAUGCAAAUAUUUAUAGGAACAUAUUUUGAAUAUAUGUGAAUAUGUUUGAAUAUCAUAAUAAAUAUAUUUUUAGCUAAAAAGGAAAUGUAAUUUGUAAAACAUAUGCUGACAUAGAUGAAUGUAUGUAUGCAAAUAUUGCGCAUACACACAUAUAUAUAUAUAUAUAGCUCAGAAGAAUAUGCAUGAAAGUAUAACUAUAUUUGAGCAUGUAUUUAAAUGGAACAUAUGCGUGCAAAUAUCUAUAUGGAUUUUUGCAAAUAUAUGAAGGAAUAUAUUUGCCCAAGUAACCAUAUGAAGGUAUUUGCAUGACUAUAUAUAUAUAUACACACACACAUAUGCACACAGAUACAUGUCUAUAUACAGAGAAAGAAUUGAAGGACCACUCCACAACCCAAACACACUUCAGCUUUCUUGUACAAAGAAUCUGACUCAGUUGAGGAUUUGUCUCCCUUCACGAAGGGAGAUAUCAAAAGACUACUGCUGGACCUGAGGAAGGUAUAGAAGACCGACCUUCAGGCAUCUUAUAGAAGAAACUGGCAGCAGUGGAGGCCCGAGAAUCAGCUAGAGAUACUCUGAUACAGGAGACUAAGUGGAAGGCCUUACACAGCAGCUACAGAGGCUGACCAAAACUGUCACUGCGCUGGAAACAAGACACAGGCAAAAGAACAUCUCUCUUAGAGGUAUCUCGGAAACGGUUGGAGGAGCAGAGCUGAUGCCAUUUACAACCCCCCUGAUUGCUUCUAUGGGCCUCUAUGGGAUUUCUGACCCAUCGCCAGUGAUAUCAGUGUUCCAAAUGCGCAAAUCAACCGCAACCCCAGCUGGGGCCCCAAGAGACACAAUAGUUGUGACCAGGGAAAUUGCGGCACGUUCCGCUAUCAUGCCCCGCUCCAGAGGCCUAGGCACUGUGGAAUUUGAGGGGAGCCUGGUAGCUUGGAACCUCCCGUUUGCUGUCUUGCUGAAGAAACAAAAAUUGUCUCCAAUUGCAAAAGACUGAGAGAUCACUUGGUCAAGUACUGCUGGGGGACGCAGGGCACCAUUGUGGUACCAAGAGAGGAUGAGCCGCUGACCCUGUCCUCUGCUGACGAUCAACUGUCUUUCUUACAGAAACUUAACCAACCAGCCAUACUGAAAGAAAACACAGAAGCAAGAUCUCCGGACAGCCUAUAGGAGAGAUCUCUGCAACCGCCAGCUCAGCAGCUGGCAACGACAGUCCGACGGCUGCAGUUUAAGGAGAUACCCUUAGCAACGGCACUCUGUUUUAAACAUGGCUUUUUAAACUAAAGCAUGGCUUGUGAUCCAAAAGCAUCAUUGACCAGAAACCAACCAUGGACGUUACAGUGUCAACCCUUUUGGGUCUCGUCAGCAUAGUGCUGGUUCUGGUUUAGGAGUCUUUCAGUUAGCGUAUAGCCAAGUUCCAAAUAAAUUGUGGUGAAAGAAAAAUAAAUCUUACUGCAAACUUGAAAUGUGCAUAAUCUUAAUAUCUCAAGUAGGGAUUUGGGAAAAGUCUGCCUAGAGAACAGAAAUUGCCAGAAAUCUACAGCAGCCUGGCCCAUUGGGCUCUGUUACAGAUUUUAAAUAAUUGUUUUUUAGUAUUGUCUAUAUGAAGGAUACAAUGCUGGAGUGAAGUUACCAUGUUGCCUAUGCAUACACCCUAAUUGACCUGCAUUGACACUAUACAUCCCUCUGUCUUUAAGACUGUGCAAUCAGGGUGUUACGACAGUCCCUUUACACACACUGACAUUUUCAGAAACAGAAUCUCAACAUAAAUACACCUGCAUUCGCUGAUACUACACACAUAUAUACACACCUAAAAAAAACAGAUGUAGGUUGCACCAAAAUAUAAAGUCCAAUUAGUCCACAAAUGCAUGAGUAUGUUCUUAGCUGGUUCCUGUCCAGACUUCAUAUAGAAUAAAACAGAAAAUAAAAGGUGAUGGUGCAGAGUGUUUGGAACUGGGUACAGGAAACAUAACAUAAAUGCAUAUAGUAUAUCCAGGGCCCCCAUCAGGGCAUGACAGCUGUGACAGUUGUCAUGGGCCCAGCAGCCCUGGGGGGCCUGGACAAGGGAUUCUGUCAGGGGAGUACAACCCUUUUACUUUUUAAGGGGCCAAGACCACCAGGAGGCCCCAAAAGCCUGGACCCCUUACAUGCACACAGACCCAGUCAGGGAGAUUAAAUAUCUCCCUCCACGGGUUUUUGCAGAGUUUGUGCAGAAGGAACGGGGCAGUAGCCUUUACCUCUGUGGCUAGCCGAGUCCCAGCUUUCAGAGCGUUGCCAAGGCAACCUCAGCCCCCACAAAACUCAGCCCCUACACUACUCAACAAACACUUUCACACAUACACACAAUGGAUCCCUUUGCACACAAUGCAUCCCUACAUGCACACACGCACACACAAUGCAUCCCUACAUGCGCACACGCACACACACACACACACACACACACAAUGCAUCCCUACACAAACACAAUGCAUCCCUACACACACACACACUGCAUGCCUACAUACACAAGGUAGUCCUACAUACAUACACACACACACACGAUGUAUUCCAACAUAUACACAGACGCACACAAUGCAUCCCUACAUACACACACACACACACACACACACACAAUGCAUCCCUACAUGCGCACACACACACACACACACAAUGCAUCUCUACACAAACACAAUGCAUCCCUACACACACACUGCAUAGAAAAAAGAAAGAAAGGAAGGCAGCGCCACUACAAACCACAUAAAUUAAAAGAGCAUAGAAUAGGCAGACUAGAAUGCAAUAUAUAUAAUAGAUAAUAAGCAAAUAGAAGUCCAGAAUAAAUAGUAGAGGUGAAUACAGUCUUUUGUAGUGGGUGAAUACAGUCUUUUGUAGUGGGGGAUUCUUCAGAGUGGUGUAGAUGCGUCUUUGUACAUCAUAUGAAAUGAGAAAAUAACAACUGAUGGUAUAGUAUGUCCAGAAGGGGGUAGAAGCAAUAAAAGAGUAUAUGGUCCUACUCACGUUUUCAAGAGCUAUAGACUUAGCUCUAGUGUUGAUAACGUACAGUGGUAUAAUCCCCACUUAUGGGAUACGUGAGGUCUUAGUAUUCUUUCUUGAUUAGGGAACCAUAUGUGGAAAUAAAAGCGGGAACAGCAAUGGUGCUCAAAGUAUAAAAUGCCAGAGGUGAGAAGAUAAAAAACCAAGUGGUUACUCACAUUUAGUUGAACAGACUAACUGUUCAAUGAAUACAGCUUGAGUGGUAUAAUCCCCACCUAGGAUUCUUGGGAGUAAUAUCCUCACUGGAAAGUAAAACCACUUCUGGUGCCGGAUAAAAGGAUGGUAGUAGUAAAAAAGUAAAAUGAUAAUAGUAAUAAAAAGUAAGAUGGCUAACUCACCGUAAGAAAGUGGCCAAAAUACCUUUAUUUAAAACAACAUAGUUUAAAAAACCACAACGCGUUUCGCCCUUAGGCUUUAUCAAGUGGAGAUCAGAAAGUACAUCCUGUUACAUACAGGUUUAUAUAGGCAGUGAACAUAUUAGAAAAUGGACCCAAAAUUAUGUCAUAAUUCCAUCUUUUUUUUUUUUAAAGUGCUAAAUUUUAUAUGUGUAAGUGAGUACAUACCUAUAUGUGAAACAUGUGAUAGUUUAAAAUUAAAAACUUGGUUUUAUACUCACAAUACCUUACAUAUUAUAUUUAGAUAGAACAGUCACAUGAUCGGCGGGGGUCAAAGGAAUGGAGAAUACAGGAGAAUCGAAAUAACAAGCCAAAUAAUCGGUAAC